rnacentral:rRNA from 1 species
AGUGAACGCUGGCGGUAGGCCUAAUACAUGCAAGUCGAACGGCAGCACAGUAAGAGCUUGCUCUUACGGGUGGCGAGUGGCGGACGGGUGAGGAAUACAUCGGAAUCUACUUUUUCGCGGGGGAUAACGUAGGGAAACUUACGCUAAUACCGCAUACGACCUACGGGUGAAAGCAGGGGAUCUUCGGACCUUGCGCGAUUGAAUGAGCCGAUGUCGGAUUAGCUAGUUGGCGGGGUAAAGGCCCACCAAGGCGACGAUCCGUAGCUGGUCUGAGAGGAUGAUCAGCCACACUGGAACUGAGACACGGUCCAGACUCCUACGGGAGGCAGCAGUGGGGAAUAUUGGACAAUGGGCGCAAGCCUGAUCCAGCCAUACCGCGUGGGUGAAGAAGGCCUUCGGGUUGUAAAGCCCUUUUGUUGGGAAAGAAAAGCAGCAGGUUAAUACCCCGCUGUUCUGACGGUACCCAAAGAAUAAGCACCGGCUAACUUCGUG